rnacentral:rRNA from 1 species
CCUGACUGCUAUCGGAUUGAUACUAAGCCAUGCAAGUCUUUGUAGUAAUACAAGGCGUACGGCUCAGUAACGCGUAGUCAACCUACCCUAUGGAUGAGGAUAAUCUCGGGAAACUGAGCAUAAUACUCAACAGAUCAUCAAUUCUGGAAUGGUUGAUGAUUCAAAUGAUUUUUCGCCAUAGGAUGGGACUGCGACCUAUCAGCUUGCUGGUGAGGUAAUGGCCCACCAAGGCAAUUACAGGUACGGGCUCUGAGAGGAGAAGCCCGGAGAUGGGUACUGAGACAAGGACCCAGGCCCUAUGGGGCGCAGCAGGCGAGAAAACUUUGCAAUGUGCGAAAGCACGACAAGGUUAAUCCGAGUGAUUUCUGCUAAAGGAAUCUUUUACCAGUUCUAAAAAUACUGGCGAAUAAGGGGUGGGCAAGUUCUGGUGUCAGCCGCCGCGGUAAAACCAGCACCUCAAGUGGUCAGGAGGAUUAUUGGGCCUAAAGCAUCCGUAGCCGGCUCUGUAAGUUUUCGGUUAAAUCUAUAUGCUCAACAUAUAGGCUGCCGAAAAUACUGCACAGCUAGGGAAUGGGAGAGGUAGACGGUACUCGGUAGGAAGGGGUAAAAUCCUUUGAUCUAUCGAUGACCACCUGUGGCGAAGGCGGUCUACCAGAACAUGUUCGACGGUGAGGGAUGAAAGCUGGGGGAGCAAACCGGAUUAGAUACCCGGGUAGUCCCAGCUGUAAACGAUGCAGACUAGAUAAUGCACUGGCACAUAGCCAGUGCAGUGUCUCAGGGAAGCCGUUAAGUCUGCCGCCUGGGAAGUACGUACGCAAGUAUGAAACUUAAAGGAAUUGGCGGGGGAGCACCACAAGGGGUGAAGCCU